rnacentral:rRNA from 1 species
GUCGAGCGGUAGAGAGGUGCUUGCACCUCUUGAGAGCGGCGGACGGGUGAGUAAAGCCUAGGAAUCUGCCUGGUAGUGGGGGAUAACGCUCGGAAACGGACGCUAAUACCGCAUACGUCCUACGGGAGAAAGCAGGGGACCUUCGGGCCUUGCGCUAUCAGAUGAGCCUAGGUCGGAUUAGCUAGUUGGUGGGGUAAUGGCUCACCGAGGCGACGAUCCGUAACUGGUCUGAGAGGAUGAUCAGUCACACUGGAACUGAGACACGGUCCAGACUCCUACGGGAGGCAGCAGUGGGGAAUAUUGGACAAUGGGCGAAAGCCUGAUCCAGCCAUGCCGCGUGUGUGAAGAAGGUCUUCGGAUUGUAAAGCGCUUUAAGUUGGGAGGAAGGGCAGUAAAUUAAUACUUUGCUGUUUUGACGUUACCGACAGAAGAGGCACCGGCUAACUCUGUGCCAGCAGCCGCGGUAAUA